GGACCCGCACAAGUAGUGGAGCAUGUGGUUUAAUUCGAAGAUACGCGCAGAACCUUACCAACACUUGACAUGUUCGUCGCGACUUUAAGAGAUUAAAGUUUUCGGUUCGGCCGGACGAAACACAGGUGCUGCAUGGCUGUCGUCAGCUCGUGUCGUGAGAUGUUGGUUAAGUCCCGCAACGAGCGCAACCCUCACUUUUAGUUGCCAUCAUUAAGUUGGGCACUCUGAAAGAACUGCCAGUGAUAAGCUGGAGGAAGGUGGGGAUGACGUCAAGUCCUCAUGGCCCUUACGUGUUGGGCUACACACGUGCUACAAUGGCCGGUACAGAGGGCUGCGAUCUCGCGAGAGUGAGCGAA
rnacentral:rRNA from 1 species